UGCAGUCGAGGGGCAGCAUUCACUUCGGUGAGAUGGCGACCGGCGCACGGGUGCGUAACGCGUAUGCAACCUACCUUAUACAGAGGGAUAGCCCAUGGAAACGUGGAUUAAUACCUCAUAGUACUAUUUAUCUUCAUGGAUUUAUAGUUAAAACUUCGGUGGUAUAAGAUGGGCAUGCGUAUGAUUAGGUAGUUGGUAGGGUAACGGCCUACCAAGCCAACGAUCAUUAGGGGUUCUGAGAGGAUUAUCCCCCACACUGGUACUGAGGCACGGACCAGACUCCUACGGGAGGCAGCAGUGAGGAAUAUUGGUCAAUGGGCGAGAGCCUGAACCAGCCAUCCCGCGUGCAGGAUGACGGCCCUAUGGGUUGUAAACUGCUUUUGUAUGCCAAGAAACCUAUCUACGUGUAGAUAGUUGACGGUAGCAUACGAAUAAGGACCGGCUAACUCCGUGCCAGCAGCCGCGGUAAUACGGAGGGUCCAAGCGUUAUCCGGAUUUAUUGGGUUUAAAGGGUGCGCAGGUGGGAAUGUAAGUCAGUGGUGAAAUACUGCCGCUUAACGGUAGAACUGCCAUUGAUACUGCAUUUCUUGAAUAUGGUUGAGGUAGGCGGAAUGUGUUGUGUAGCGGUGAAAUGCAUAGAUAUGACACAGAACGCCAAUUGCGAAGGCAGCUUACUAAGCCAUUAUUGACGCUGAGGCACGAAAGCGUGGGGAGCGAACAGGAUUAGAUACCCUGGUAGUCCACGCCCGUAACGAUGUUCACUCGCUGUCU
rnacentral:rRNA from 1 species